rfam:Ictidomys tridecemlineatus contig053809, whole genome shotgun sequence.
GGGGAUGUAGCUUGGUGAUAGAGGGUUUGUCUAGCACACACAAAGCACUGGGUUCAAUUCCCAGUACCCCCC